rnacentral:lncRNA from 1 species
GACACGCCAUGAUCUACGGGUACGAGAUGUGUCGAGGAAAGAUAGAUAUUUUUUCUAAGAUUAAUCGUAUCUAUUUAAUUAAAAAAGAGAUACAACUCUGCUAGUACAAAAUUAAUUCAAAACACUCGAACUCUUUAUUUUCUAAUUACAUCAAUUUUAAGAUAAUUUAUUCUCUAAACCUAAACAAUGCUUCUUUCUUUUAUUUUAUAAUCUCAACUUAGCCCA